AUGAGUUGGAAUUUCAAUAUUGCAUGGAGGAAGUUCCUUGGGAAAAAAUUGAGCGUAUAUAUUGAAGCUGUUUCAGAGGGAGAAUGGACCUCUCUUAGUGGGAUUAAACUGUUGAGGAGGUAGAUUUCAUGUCCCAGUUGCUUGGAAACUUUGUAAACCAGACAUCAAUCAUCGGAAUAGAUCCAGAUUUGGCCUGGAGGCAACUAUGAAGAUUUGAGCGCCCUCCCCUCACUCUCUCGAUCAUAUAUUGGUCUGUCUUUCAAGGCUCGGAUUGUAAUCCUUGAGAAACCCACUGCCGUAAAUCUGCCUUAAGAGCUGCAAUUUUCCUAGAGUUAUAUAUAUCGAUCAAUUACUCAACUUUGAUGAUAGAAGUCAUAACGUUUGUUCUGCUUGCUUCCAGUUUCUGGAAUUCAAGACAAGUAUCCAGACAAUUUUGACCUUGAUAUAUUAACAAUGGUCGUGAAGAGAAAGAAGAAGAUGAUUAUAGGCUCUACCAUAAGAGGGAGAUCAAUGAAUUUCGUUACCCUUAAAAACGGUUGAAUUUCAUUUAUUGUGUUCUGGAAAAUGAGUAAUCAAUCGUUACGCAAAGGUAAGCUAUUUAAGUUUGGGUCCAUAUUCGGAUUAUUUGAUUCAUUCCUGUGUUGCAUGUUAAGAUUCGUCUUGGUGAAGCUGAUUAAGAAUGUACAAAUUGAAAUUGUUAUGGGUGGUCUCAAAUUUGGGUAAGAACCGUGAAUCUCUAACACUCUUCCUUAUCUCUAA